UUCGCAAUGCCCGAAAGGGUGAACGAGCGACGCCGCGUGCGGGAUGAAGGGUUUCGGCUUGUAAACCGCUUUUCUUUGGGAAGAAGGUCUGUCUCGUGCAGAUGGGCUCGACGGUACCAGAGGAAUAAGCCUCGGCUAACUCCGUGCCAGCAGCCGCGGUAAGACGAACCGUGCAAACGUUGUUCGGAUUCACUGGGCUUAAAGGGCGCGUAGGCGGCUUACCAAGUCAGGGGUGAAAUCUUUACGGCUCAACCGGAAAAGUGCCCCUGAUACUGGUGGGCUAGAGGGAGGUAGGGGCGGGUGGAACUUCCGGUGGAGCGGUGAAAUGCGUAGAUAUCGGAAGGAACGCCGGUGGCGAAAGCGACCUGCUGGAUCUCUACUGACGCUGAGGCGCGAAAGCUAGGGGAGCAAACGGGAUUAGAUACCCCGGUAGUCCUAGCCCUAAACGAUGGGCACUAAGUAGAGGGGUUUU
rnacentral:rRNA from 1 species